AGUGAACGCUGGCGGCAGGCCUAACACAUGCAAGUCGAGCGGCAGCGGGUUCCCGCGAGGGGAUGCCGGCGAGCGGCGGACGGGUGAGGAACACAUCGGAAUCUGCCUGGUUGGUGGGGGAUAACGUAGGGAAACUUACGCUAAUACCGCAUGAGACCCUGAGUCGACGGACUGGGGGUGAAAGUGAGGGACCUUCGGGCCUCACGCGACCAGAUGAGCCGAUGUCGGAUUAGCUAGUUGGCGGGGUAACGGCCCGCCAAGGCGACGAUCCGUAGCUGGUCUGAGAGGAUGAUCA
rnacentral:rRNA from 1 species